UGAGCAAAUCGUACGGUCGCAAGUACAGUACCGAAAGGUCGUACUUGAGGAAAGUCCGAGCUCCGCAGAGCAGGGUGCUGGGUAACACCCAGUGGAGGCGACUCUAAGGAAAGUGCAACAGAAAUAAACCGCUGUCUUAUUAUAAUAAGGCAGUAAGGGUGGAAAGGUGAGGUAAGAGCUCACCGCUCCCAUGGCGACUUGGGAGGCUCUGUAAACCCCACCUGGAGCAAGACCGUAUAGGAGAACAUUUGUGGCUGCUCGUCACGUUCUCGGGUAGGUUGCUGGAGCAUAUAGGUAACUAUAUGCCUAGAUAGAUGACCGUAUACAACAGAACUCGGCUUACAGAUUUGCUCAUAGA
rnacentral:RNase_P_RNA from 1 species